UACGGAGGGUGCAAGCGUUAUCCGGAUUCACUGGGUUUAAAGGGUGCGUAGGUGGGUUGAUAAGUCAGUGGUGAAAUCCCCGAGCUUAACUUGGGAACUGCCAUUGAUACUAUUGAUCUUGAAUACCGUGGAGGUCAGCGGAAUAUGUCAUGUAGCGGUGAAAUGCUUAGAUAUGGCAUAGAACACCAAUUGCGAAGGCAGCUGGCUACGCGAAUAUUGACACUGAUGCACGAAAGCGUGGGGAUCAAACAGG
rnacentral:rRNA from 1 species